CUUUAACUCUGGCGGUAGGCCUAACACAUGCAAGUCGAACGGCAGCACAGUAAGAGCUUGCUCUUACGGGUGGCGAGUGGCGGACGGGUGAGGAAUACAUCGGAAUCUACUUUUUCGUGGGGGAUAACGUAGGGAAACUUACGCUAAUACCGCAUACGACCUACGGGUGAAAGCAGGGGAUCUUCGGACCUUGCGCGAUUGAAUGAGCCGAUGUCGGAUUAGCUAGUUGGCGGGGUAAAGGCCCACCAAGGCGACGAUCCGUAGCUGGUCUGAGAGGAUGAUCAGCCACACUGGAACUGAGACACGGUCCAGACUCCUACGGGAGGCAGCAGUGGGGAAUAUUGGACAAUGGGCGCAAGCCUGAUCCAGCCAUACCGCGUGGGUGAAGAAGGCCUUCGGGUUGUAAAGCCCUUUUGUUGGGAAAGAAAAGCAGCAGGUUAAUACCCCGCUGCUCUGACGGUACCCAAAGAAUAAGCACCGGCUAACUUCGUG
rnacentral:rRNA from 1 species